UACGUAGGGUGCGAGCGUUGCCCGGAUUUAUUGGGCGUAAAGGGCGCGCAGGCGGCUACGCACGUCCGUUGUGAAAUCGCCCGGCUCAACUGGGCGGGGUCAGCGGAUACGGCGUAGCUGGAGCAAGCUAGGGGGCAAUGGAAUUCCCGGUGUAGUGGUGGAAUGCGUAGAGAUCGGGAAGAACACCAGUGGCGAAGGCGGUCUGCUGGGCCGUUGCUGACGCUGAGGCGCGACAGCGUGGGGAGCAAACAGG
rnacentral:rRNA from 1 species